UGUUGGAGCUAGGAACACAAGCAUUUCGCUACACCCACAAUAACAUCUGCUAAAUAUGUGUAUGUGACCAAAACAUUGGGAUUUUAUUAGAUUUUUUAAAAAGGUUGAAUGGCUGGCUGACUGGUUGGCUUUCUGGGUAUUGAUGUUGGGACACGGCUCAGUGAUUCACAGGUAGAAAGGUAGGCUGUCUGGCUGGCUGGGUGUUUCAGAUGAUGUUGGGACACGGCUCAGUGGAGUAAGGUAGAAUGGCUGGCUGCUGGCUGGGGUGUUUCAGAUGAUGUUGGGACACGGCUCAGUGAUGUACAGGUAGAAAGGUAGGCUGUCUGGCUGGCUGGGUGUUUCAGAUGUUGGGACACGCUCAGUGAGGUACAGGUAGAAGGAGGCUGUCUGGCUGGCUGGGUGUUUCAGAUGUUGGGACACGGCUCAGUGAUGUACAGGUAGAAAGGUAGGCUGUCUGGCUGGCUGGGUGUUUCAGAUGUUGGGACACGGCUCAGGUGAUGUACAGGAGAAUGGGGUCUGCUGGCUGGGUGUUUCAGAUGUUGGGACACGGCUCAGUGAUGUACAGGUAGAAUGGCUGUCUUGCUGGCUGGGUGUUUCAGAUGUUGGGACACGGCUCAGUGAUGUACAGGUAGAAAGGUAGGCUGUCUGGCUGGCUGGGUGUUUUCAGAUGUUGGGACACGGCUCAUGAGUACAGGUAGAAAGGUAGGCUGGCUGGCUGGCUGGGUGUUUCAGAUGUUGGGACACGGCUCAGUGAUGAACAGGUAAAGGUAGGCUGUCUGGCUGGCUGGGUGUUCAGA
rnacentral:lncRNA from 1 species